rnacentral:misc_RNA from 1 species
CAGAGUCGUAAAACACUCCCAAACCCAUGUGAACUUACCUUUGUUGCCUCGGCAGGACCUACCCUGUAGCUACUUGUAGCUGCUGUGUAGCCUGCCGGUGGACCAUUAAACUCUUGUUAUUUAAUAGAUAUCUGAGCGUCUUAUUUAAUAAGUCA